rnacentral:rRNA from 1 species
AGAACGAACGCUGGCGGCAGGCUUAACACAUGCAAGUCGAACGCUCGUAGCAAUACGGGAGUGGCAGACGGGUGAGUAACGCGUGGGAACAUACCCUCCGGUUCGGAAUAGCUCAGGGAAACUUGGAUUAAUACCGGAUACGGCUGAGAGGCGAAAGAUUUAUCGCCGGAGGAUUGGCCCGCGUUCGAUUAGCUUGUUGGUGAGGUAACGGCUCACCAAGGCGAUGAUCGAUAGCUGGUCUGAGAGGAUGAUCAGCCACAUUGGGACUGAGACACGGCCCAAACUCCUACGGGAGGCAGCAGUGGGAAUAUUGGACAAUGGGCGCAAGCCUGAUCCAGCCAUGCCGCGUGAGUGAUGACGGCCUUAGGGUUGUAAAGCUCUUUCGCGUCGGGACGAUAAUGACGGUACCGAGAUAAGACGCCCGGCUAACUUCGCGCCAGCAGCCGC